rnacentral:sRNA from 1 species
CGAGGCUGCUUCCGUUUCCAUCCCGGACCCGACAAUGGGCGGGAAAAAGAAGGCUUUACACGACUACGCGGCGGAGUUCACCGACCUGGUGGUGAAGCACCUGAUUGAGCACAGUGACUCUGGGGACACGUCUGUGGUGGAGACCCUUUACUGCAGGGCCUGCGAGCUGCCCGUGCGCGUGCGGAGGGACCGCAUCCUGGAACACCUGUCCUCGGGCAGGCAGCACGGCCUGCGGACGCCCAUUCUCAUGUAAAUGUCAGUGCCAACGCUGGUGUUUCAGGAGACAUCCCAGCGGGCUGCGGGCUAUUUUAGGAUUCUCUGCCCUGCAAACGUUUCCAAAGUGCGUGGACAGGCCGCCUGAUGACACUACGUUUACGGGAUCUGCUAGUGGCUUGCCUACUUAGGGAGUAAACCCUGUGAAGUCUCGCAGUUUUAUUAAAGUGUGCGUGGCCACCUGAAUGCUGCCUUAUCACAAGCCAGAUACAUACUGCCGCCUCGGAUCUCGCUGCCACCAGCCUUACUGCACACCCGUGCCACCCGCCCUUGCCCCGUCAGCCUCAGCCUCAGCUCAUUCUCUCAGGCAGUCCCAGCAUUGGCACGGUACCUCCUCCCGCUGUGGGCCACACGUCUCUGCUCCCUGUCAACCCUACUGCCAUCAGCACCACCACCAGCGACUUGUCUGCCCAGGAGGAUGCAACACCAUCUGCCUCCACCGGCCACCUUUCAGUGUUUCCUGCUUUCCAAGUAAAGAUACCAGCAGUGCCCGCAGAGCAGACCAGCCAGAGAUUUUCUGAAGCCUCCCACAGGGUGCUCCCCGGAGGAGGCCCGAGAUGCUCUCGUGACUUUGGAGCCGGGGUGGCUGGCCACCUUGGCCUGGGCAUCUUUGGGAUGGGCUUCGGGAGCCCGGCACUGCUGCAGAGUGUGGUGGAUGAGAACAGCUGCUGCUUGCUGUACGUGGUGGAGGACCAGCUGUGUGAUGUGGAGCGAGCCUUCAGAGCUGAGCAUUUGGGCCAACACCAGAGUGGUUCGGGAACAGGAUGCAGACAUUGUCCUCAACGACCAGCGGCACUUUGAUCCGGUUUUCCAGUUCUUGCACAAGCAAGUUUUUGUCAGCCACGCCCUGGGGAGGAUCCACUGGAUCACCGCCGUCACAGCCUGUUCCCGGUGGCCUCUCCGGCUUCCCUAAAGAGAGCAGGUGGGACUUUCUACAACGCUGCUAUGCACGACGCGGAUGCCGUAUGCAUGUUGCUGGGGGAAGCCACUCCGGACACUGUGUUUUCUCUGGGACAUGUCUUCUGCCCAGAUAUGGCCGCCUUAAAAGAUGCAGAUGCUGUUGUGAUCAGCAUGAAGUUUCCCUGUGAGGCUGUGGUCAGCGUGGACAUCAGCCAGCACUGCACAGACAGCUGCGACCAGGACGUCAGCCAGCACUGCACAGACAGCUGCAACCAGGACGUCAGCCAGCACUGCACAGACAGCUGCGACCAGGAUGUCAGCCAGCACUGCACAGACAGCUGCAACCAGAGACUGGAGACGGAGUCUUGCCCUGUCACCCAGGCUGGAGUGCAAUGGUGCGAUCUCGGCUCACUGCAACCUCCGUCUCCCGGGUUCAAGCGAUUCUUCUGCCUCAGCCUUCUGAGUAGCUGGGAUUACACGCGUGUGCCACCACGCUCGGCUAAUUUUUGUAUUUUUAGUAGAGAUGGGAUUUCACCAUGUUGGCCAGGCUGGUCUCGAACUACUGACCUCGUGAUCCACCUGCCACGGCCUCCCAAAGUGCUGGGAUUACAGGCGUGAGCCACCAUGCUUGGCCUAAAAAACAAUUUUCUUGAAGAAUCCGAUUUGUGCAUAGUAAUGACACAGCACCAUUCCUGAGAAAUAGGAAAUAUAUGUGUGUGGUAUGAAAAGCCCAUAUUCUGUUCUUGUCACCUGAAUCUAAAGGCUUCCUCUUUGGAUGUGAACGCGGGAAUGAACAGUGGCUGUUUUCCACCCAAAGGGGCGUGGAGACCUUUUGGAAACGGGCUUUCUCCUUUCCAUUUUGCAGCUGGGGGCGGGUGGAAACCUUCCUUCGAAGGGUAGUGCCUUGGGGAGCAGCAGACCUGCUCUGAGUCCAGCUUAGCUUUCCAAAAUUCUGUGUGGAACUUACUGGAGAUGUUUUUAUAUAUUUGAAAAUAAUGGCCUGUAUUUCUCACGCUAUACUUAAAAAAAUAACUAACCUUUUAAACAAAGAUAUUCAAACUCACCCUUGUGCUGAAAGCACUCACAUUUCUGUGUUCAUUCCUGAAAGGGCGUUUUAGAGUCCCCGUUUCUACGUUCUAUGUGGCACCCUCUUGCCGAGGGAACAUCCAGAAUCCCUCCACUUCCUGUCUAGUUUGAGGCCUCAACACCUUCAUGAUCCAGAGUCCUGUGGCUAUGAGGGGGUGGGCCCACCGCCGCCCAGCCCUCCUUGGUGGACGUGGGGACAGGUAGGAGCCUAGGGAAAGGGGUGAGCGGGCUCUGGUGUGACGGCGUGAGCGCUAGCCAGGAAGGUGGGGCCAGGGCCGGGCAUGGCACCUCACCUGUGGGGGAACUCGGCGGAGCUUCCUGGCGGCAUCUCCCCCUCUUGCCUUGGUCCUUUCUAUCUUUGUUUUAGGCCAAUUUCUAAAAAGACUGAGGCCUCCUUCAAGGUUGAACAGAUUUCUAGAGCCUUGUUUUUGCUGUGACAGGUCCCUAGUCCCUGUUCACAACUCUGAAACCAAGAAACCUGAGAACCAAGAGAACUGAAAUGAAACCCGUUGGUCUCAGCCUGGCUUGAGCCAACAUGAGGCUCUCUGCUGCCUUUUGUUUUCUUAGGUUUUGCUGAGAAACGGGAGUGCGUUCUGUGUCGGUGUUUGUGACGCCCUGAGACCCUGCUUGGCCUAGCUAAAGUCCAGAAGGCCUGGGCCCCACAGGGCUUGGAUGAGGGCUCAUGGGCCUGUACUUCAGGAGGCCUGAGGGGCCCGGUCAGUCCCAUGAGGCUACUCGGCUUGGCCCGCAGGUCCUCCGAGGCACAGGGCAGAGGGACACCCCAGGGACCCAUCAGACUCACGACACAGAGAAACUCAAGUGGGGUGCCAGGGCCGGCCACAGAGGCCACGGGCUUCCUGCCUGUGAGGAGCCGCCCUGUUUGUCUGAGCCCUUUGGAGAUUUAGGUUGAGUCAUGAGAACCGGUCAUUGGAACAUACACUUUAUUAUGUUACAAAAACAAAAAUCCCCACUGAAACACAGCUAAAAAAAUAACACAUUUUCCCAAGAUUACAUUACCAAAAACAGUUGUUAUGUCAUUGGAGGGCGUCCAUUAAUACUGCUCGGAGAAGCACGAUCUUACACGAAAAACACGGAUGGGAUUUCGUUUUCAUCUUAAAGCAUUAAAGUGCUUUAACUGGUAA